rnacentral:rRNA from 1 species
ACUCCUACGGGAGGCAGCAGUAGGAAUUUUCCGCAAUGGACGAAAGUCUGACGGAGCAAUGCCGCGUGAGUGAUGAAGGUUUUCGAAUCGUAAAGCUCUGUUGUAAGGGAAGAAUAGCAAGAAUAGGAAAUGAUUCUUGUCUGACGGUACCUUACCAGAAAGCCACGGCUAACUCCGUGCCAGCAGCCGCGGUAAUACGGAGGGUGCGAGCGUUAAUCGGAAUUACUGGGCGUAAAGCGCAUGCAGGCGGCCUGUUAAGUCAGAUGUGAAAGCCCGGGGCUUAACCUCGGAAUUGCAUUUGAAACUGGCAGGCUAGAGUCUUGUAGAGGGGGUGAGAAUUGUCAGGUGUAGCGGUGAAAUGCGUAGAGAUCUGAAGGAAUACCAGUGGCGAAGGCGGCCCCCUC